AGCAGCCGCGGUAAUUCCAGCUCCAAUAGCGUAUAUUAAAGUUGUUGCAGUUAAAAAGCUCGUAGUUGAAUUUCGGGAUCAAUGCGUCGGUCGUGCUUUCGGGUACGUACUGGUGUCAUUGGUUUCUCCUUUCUGACGAGCCGUGAUGUCAUUAAUUUGGUGUUACGGGUAGUUAGGACUGUUACUUUGAAAAAAUUAGAGUGUUUAAAGCAGGCAUUAGCUUGAAUACAUUAGCAUGGAAUAAUGAAAUAGGACGUUCGAUCCUAUUUUGUUGGUUUCUAGGAUCAACGUAAUGAUUAAUAGGGAUAGUCGGGGGCAUUAGUAUUCAAUUGUCAGAGGUGAAAUUCUUGGAUUUAUUGAAGACUAACUACUGCGAAAGCAUUUGCCAAGGAUGUUUUCAUUAAUCAAGAACGAAAGUUAGGGGAUCGAAGACGAUCAGAUACCGUCGUAGUCUUAACCAUAAACUAUGCCGACUAGGGAUCGGAUGAUGUUAAUUUUUAAUGACUCAUUCGGCGCCUUA
rnacentral:rRNA from 1 species